CUGAGUACGGCGGAACACGUGAAAUUCCGUCGGAAUCCGGGAGGACCAUCUCCCAAGGCUAAAUACUCCCUAGUGACCGAUAGUGAACCAGUACCGUGAGGGAAAGGUGAAAAGCACCCCGGAAGGGGAGUGAAACAGUUCCUGAAACCGUGUGCCUACAAGUAGUUAGAGCCCGUUAAUGGGUGAUAGCGUGCCUUUUGUAGAAUGAACCGGCGAGUUACGAUUUGUUGCAAGGUUAAGCGGAAAAAGCGGAGCCGUAGCGAAAGCGAGUCUGAAUAGGGCGCAUAAGUAACAGGUCGUAGACCCGAAACCAGGUGAUCUACCCAUGUCCAGGAUGAAGGUAAGGUAAUACUUACUGGAGGUCCGAACCCACGCACGUUGAAAAGUGCGGGGAUGAGGUGUGGGUAGCGGAGAAAUUCCAAUCGAACUUGGAGAUAGCUGGUUCUCUCCGAAAUAGCUUUAGGGCUAGCCUCGAGGUAAAGAGUCAUGGAGGUAGAGCACUGUUUGGACUAGGGGCCCUUCUCGGGUUACCGAAUUCAGAUAAACUCCGAAUGCCAUGUACUUAUACUCGGGAGUCAGACUGCGAGUGAUAAGAUCCGUAGUCGAAAGGGAAACAGCCCAGACCACCAGUUAAGGUCCCCAAAUAUAUGUUAAGUGGAAAAGGAUGUGGGGUUGCUUAGACAACCAGGAUGUUGGCUUAGAAGCAGCCACCAUUGAAAGAGUGCGUAAUAGCUCACUGGUCGAGUGACCCCGCGCCGAAAAUGUACCGGGGCUAAACAUAUUACCGAAACUGUGGAUGAACCUCUUUAGAGGUUCGUGGUAGGAGAGCGUUCUAAGGGCGGUGAAGUCAGACCGGAAGGACUGGUGGAGCGCUUAGAAGUGAGAAUGCCGGUAUGAGUAGCGAAAGAAGGGUGAGAAUCCCUUCCACCGAAUAUCUAAGGUUUCCUGAGGAAGGCUCGUCCGCUCAGGGUUAGUCGGGACCUAAGCCGAGGCCGAUAGGCGUAGGCGAUGGACAACAGGUAGAGAUUCCUGUACCAGUGCUAAUUGUUUAACCGAUGGGGUGACACAGAAGGAUAGGGAAUCGCACGAAUGGAAAUGUGCGUCCAAGCAGUGAGUGUGAGAAGUAGGCAAAUCCGCUUCUCGCGAAGCAUGAGCUGUGAUGGGGAAGGAAAUUAAGUACGGAAGUUCCUGAUUUCACGCUGUCAAGAAAAGCCUCUAGGAAGAGUAGUACUGCCCGUACCGCAAACCGACACAGGUAGAUGAGGAGAGAAUCCUAAGGUGAGCGAGAGAACUCUCGUUAAGGAACUCGGCAAAAUGACCCCGUAACUUCGGGAGAAGGGGUGCUCUAUUAGGGUGCAAGCCCGAGAGAGCCGCAGUGAAUAGGCCCAGGCGACUGUUUAGCAAAAACACAGGUCUCUGCAAAACCGUAAGGUGACGUAUAGGGGCUGACGCCUGCCCGGUGCUGGAAGGUUAAGAGGAGUGCUUAGCUUCGGCGAAGGUACGAAUUGAAGCCCCAGUAAACGGCGGCCGUAACUAUAACGGUCCUAAGGUAGCGAAAUUCCUUGUCGGGUAAGUUCCGACCCGCACGAAAGGCGCAACGAUCUGGGCACUGUCUCAACGAGAGACUCGGUGAAAUUAUAGUACCUGUGAAGAUGCAGGUUACCCGCGACAGGACGGAAAGACCCCGUGGAGCUUUACUGCAACCUGAUAUGGAAUGUUUGUACCGCUUGUACAGGAUAGGUAGGAGCCGAAGAGACGUGUGCGCUAGCAUACGAGGAGGCAAUGGUGGGAUACUACCCUGGCUGUAUGACCAUUCUAACCCGCCACGCUUAGCGCGUGGGGAGACAGUGUCAGGUGGGCAGUUUGACUGGGGCGGUCGCCUCCUAAAGAGUAACGGAGGCGCCCAAAGGUUCCCUCAGAAUGGAUGGAAAUCAUUCGCAGAGUGUAAAGGCACAAGGGAGCUUGACUGCGAGACUGACAAGUCGAGCAGGGACGAAAGUCGGGCUUAGUGAUCCGGUGGUUCCGCAUGGAAGGGCCAUCGCUCAACGGAUAAAAGCUACCCCGGGGAUAACAGGCUUAUCUCCCCCAAGAGUCCACAUCGACGGGGAGGUUUGGCACCUCGAUGUCGGCUCGUCGCAUCCUGGGGCUGUAGUCGGUCCCAAGGGUUGGGCUGUUCGCCCAUUAAAGCGGCACGCGAGCUGGGUUCAGAACGUCGUGAGACAGUUCGGUCCCUAUCCGUCGCGGGCGCAGGAAAUUUGAGAGGAGCUGUCCUUAGUACGAGAGGACCGGGAUGGACACACCGCUGGUGUACCAGUUGUUCCGCCAGGAGCAUCGCUGGGUAGCUAUGUGUGGCAGGGAUAAACGCUGAAAGCAUCUAAGCGUGAAGCCCCCCUCAAGAUGAGAUUUCCCAUUUCUUCGGAAAGUAAGAUCCCUGAAAGAUGAUCAGGUAGAUAGGUUUGGAGUGGAAGUGUAGCGAUACAUGGAGCGGACAAAUACUAAUC
rnacentral:rRNA from 1 species